UACGUAGGGUGCAGGCGUUAAUCGGAAUUACUGGGCGUAAAGCGUGCGCAGGCGGUUUUGUAAGUCUGUCGUGAAAUCCCCCGGGCUCAACCUGGGAAUGGCGAUGGAGACUGCAAGGCUAGAGUUUGGCAGAGGGGGGGUAGAAUUCCACGUGUAGCAGUGAAAUGCGUAGAUAUGUGGAGGAACACCGAUGGCGAAGGCAGCCCCCCUGGGUCAAAACUGACGCUCAUGCACGAAAGCGUGGGGAGCAAACAGG
rnacentral:rRNA from 1 species